AUUGCAAAGACAGAAGGAAAAACCAAUAACGUCAUGUUAACAAAGUCAUGCAGUUCUAUAUGGUUAAUUUUACAGAAAUGAAGAGACAGCUUCCAUGGAAAACUGCAGUGGAGUAUAGUAUUGUUUACAAUAAUUUGAUUCAAGAUGUCGAAAUCGUAAAGAGUAAUUUAUAACUGAAAUAGGUGCUUUCUCCAGACUGGCGAUAUUCAACCCAAUAGCCAAGGAUCUCUUUGCCACCAUCACUUUCAGGUCGUUCCCAUUCUAACGUAAUGCUGUCCUUAAAUAUAGAAGUGAUCUCAAUUUC